rnacentral:rRNA from 1 species
UGAGACAGUUCGGUCCCUAUCCGUCGUGGGCGUAGGAAAUUUGAGAGGAGCUGUCCUUAGUACGAGAGGACCGGGAUGGACAUACCUCUGGUGUACCAGUUGUCGUGCCAACGGCAUAGCUGGGUAGCUAUGUGUGGACGGGAUAAGUGCUGAAAGCAUCUAAGCAUGAAGCCCCCCUCAAGAUGAGAUUUCCCAACUUCGGUUAUAAGAUCCCUCAAAGAUGAUGAGGUUAAUAGGUUCGAGGUGGAAGCAUGGUGACAUGUGGAGCUGACGAAUACUAAUCGAUCGAAGACUUAAUCAAAA